rnacentral:lncRNA from 1 species
GGAACUUAAAUCUUUGAUGGUACUAAAGGGAGCGAUGAUAGGAUCAAAUAUAAUGGUGCAAUUUGGAUUGGGUUCAACUAAACCUAGCCGCCCAACCCGUAUAUUGGAUACUAUUGGAUUGAGAUAUAAACUUUGGACUAUGCUUCGGCUGAAAAAUUUCACUUGACCUGAAGUAUGGUUGGGUUAGGUUUCAUUUUCAACCUAAGUAAAAUCCGGCCUAAUGUGAUAUAUAAAUAAAUAGACAGUUCAUAUUUAUUCUUCACUCAUAGUUAUAUUUUCAAUUGAUUAUGUACAAGUGUAUCAUUAAAAUUGAUGAAUGUUUGAUAUGACCUCAUUGCUCAAUCAAGGUGUAGCUUCUGCAUUCUAAAUAUGAUAAACUGUCAUUGCUAUGAGCUAAGGAGAAGUAUUUGUUUGUGGAAAUUAAGUAACGAUGAUAGAAUUAUGAUUAUCAUGCAUAUAUAGUAUGGUCAUCUUUUCAAAGUAGACCACUUCAACAAGUUUCACUUUGAUCUUUAUCCUACGGUUUCAAGGUUAUGUUUUAAUUUGAUCUUUAUUUUUGAAACACUUUUAGUGUGGCUCAAAUCCAAAGCAGCCCCCUAAUUGCCUAACU